GACGAACGCUGGCGGCGUGCUUAACACAUGCAAGUCGAACGGAAAGGCCCUGCUUUUGUGGGGUGCUCGAGUGGCGAACGGGUGAGUAACACGUGAGUAACCUGCCCUUGACUUUGGGAUAACUUCAGGAAACUGGGGCUAAUACCGGAUAGGAGCUCCUGCUGCAUGGUGGGGGUUGGAAAGUUUCGGCGGUUGGGGAUGGACUCGCGGCUUAUCAGCUUGUUGGUGGGGUAGUGGCUUACCAAGGCUUUGACGGGUAGCCGGCCUGAGAGGGUGACCGGCCACAUUGGGACUGAGAUACGGCCCAGACUCCUACGGGAGGCAGCAGUGGAGAGUAUUGCACAAUGGGCGGGAGCCUGAUACAGCAACGCCGCGUGCGGGAUGACGGCCUUCGGGUUGUAAACCGCUUUCGCCUGUGACGAAGCGUGAGUGACGGUAAUGGGUAAAGAAGCACCGGCUAACUACGUG
rnacentral:rRNA from 1 species